UACGUAGGGGGCAAGCGUUGUCCGGAAUCAUUGGGCGUAAAGCGCGUGUAGGCGGCUCGGUAAGUCUGCUGUGAAAGUCCAGGGCUCAACCCUGGGAUGCCGGUGGAUACUGUCGAGCUCGAGUCCGGAAGAGGCGAGUGGAAUUCCUGGUGUAGCGGUGGAAUGCGCAGAUAUCAGGAGGAACACCGAUAGCGAAGGCAGCUCGCUGGGACGGUACUGACGCUGAGGAGCGAAAGCGUGGGAGCGAACAGG
rnacentral:rRNA from 1 species